rnacentral:rRNA from 1 species
UGGGGAAUUUUGGACAAUGGGCGAAAGCCUGAUCCAGCAAUGCCGCGUGUGUGAAGAAGGCCUUCGGGUUGUAAAGCACUUUUGUCCGGAAAGAAAUCCUUGGCUCUAAUACAGCCGGGGGAUGACGGUACCGGAAGAAUAAGCACCGGCUAACUACGUGCCAGCAGCCGCGGUAAUACGUAGGGUGCAAGCGUUAAUCGGAAUUACUGGGCGUAAAGCGUGCGCAGGCGGUUUGCUAAGACCGAUGUGAAAUCCCCGGGCUCAACCUGGGAACUGCAUUGGUGACUGGCAGGCUAGAGUAUGGCAGAGGGGGGUAGAAUUCCACGUGUAGCAGUGAAAUGCGUAGAGAUGUGGAGGAAUACCGAUGGCGAAGGCAGCCCCCUGGGCCAAAUACUGACGCUCAUGCACGAAAGCGUGGGGAGCAAACAGGAUUAGAUACCCUGGUAGUCCACGCCCUAAACGAUGUCAACUAGUUGUUGGGGAUUCAUUUCCUUAGUAACGUAGCUAACGCGUGAAGUUGACCGCCUGGGGAGUACGGUCGCAAGAUUAAAA